rnacentral:rRNA from 1 species
ACUGCUCAGUAACACGUAGUCAACAUGCCCAGGGGACGUGGAUAACCUCGGGAAACUGAGGAUAAACCGCGAUAGGUCAUAAUAUCUGGAAUGAUUUCUGGCUAAAAUCUAUAUGGCCCCUGGAUUGGACUGCGGCCGAUCAGGCUGUUGGUGAGGUAAUGGCCCACCAAACCUAAAACCGGUACGGGCUCUGAGAGGAGAAGCCCGGAGAUGGGCACUGAGACAAGGGCCCAGGCCCUAUGGGGCGCAGCAGGCGCGAAAACUCUGCAAUAAGCGAAAGCUUGACAGGGUUAUUCUGAGUGAUUUCCGCUAAGGAAAUCUUUUGGCACCUCUAAAAAUGGUGCAGAAUAAGGGGUGGGCAAGCCUGGUGUCAGCCGCCGCGGUAAUACCAGCACCCCGAGUGGUCGGGACGAUUAUUGGGCCUAAGGCAUCCGUAGCCGGUUCUACAAGUCUUCCGUUAAAUCCACCUGCUUAACAGAUGGGCUGCGGAGGAUACUAUGGAGCUAGGAGGCGGGAGAGGCAAGCGGUACUUAGUGGGUAGGGGUAAAAUCCGUUGAUCCAUUGAAGACCACCAGUGGUGAAGGCGGCUUGCCAGAACGCACUCGACGGUGAGGGAUGAAAGCUGGGGGAGCAAACCGGAUUAGAUACCCGGGUAGUCCCAGCUGUAAACGAUGCAGACUCGGUGAUGAAUAGGCUUCGUGCCUCUUCAGUGCCGCAGGGAGGCCGUUAAGUCUGCCGCCUGGGGAGUACGGUCGCAAGACUGAAACUUAAAGGAAUUGGCGGGGGAGCA